CUCAAAAUGUCCACUUGCAGAUUCUACAAAAAGAGAGCUUCAGAACUACUCAAUGAAAAGAAAGGUUUAACUCUGUGAGAUGAAUGCACAUAUCACAAAGAAGUUUCACAGAUUGCUUCUGUGUAGAUUUUAUGUGAAGAUAUUUCCUUUUCUACCAUAGGCCGCAAAGCACUCCAAAUGUCCACUUGUAGUUUCUACAAAAAGAGUGUUUCCAAACUGCUGAAUUAAAAGAAAGGUUCAACUCUGUGAGAUGAACGCAAGCAUCACAAAGAAGUUUCUCAGAAUACUUCUGUCUAAUUUUUAUGUGAAGAUAUUUGAUUUUCCAUCAUUGGCCUCAAGGAACUUGAAAUGUCCACAUGAAGAUUCUACGAAAAGAGGAUUUCAAAAAUGCUCCAACAAAAGAAUGGU
rnacentral:lncRNA from 1 species